UUGUGAUUCAGGGUUCAGUCAGUUGUGAUUUGAGUCGUGAGCGCUUAUGGAAUUGAUUGUAAAGUCCACUUGUUAAAUGGCCUCACUCCAGACGAGCAUCUGCACUCAGAUUUAUUUCCAAGUAUUCUGGAAUUUCCAAGCGGCUAAUAUUCUAUGAUCUGAUUGCCCAUCCUGUAUCUGAGCAAUCAUUGGUAGAGAGUUAGCAGCAAAAUCAAAUCACCUCAAAAUUCAUCAUUUAGUGCUUCAAACAACAUUGAUAUCAAGGAAGAUUUAGUGUAGGCAACUUAAAUAAUCAUAAACAGUGACUUUCAAAGUUUGAUUUGUCCAGAUAUUAAUUUUUUCAAACGAAGAAGGAAAGUGUACUUAAGUUCAGUGUUGGAAAUGCCUAAAUAUCUGAAUCAGUAGGUAAAACCAAACUGUUCGGAAUUUAAGUUUUAAAGAAGAACUUUAUAUUUGGUGAGUCUUUUUUUAUAUAAUUUCUUAACGCAUACUCUUUCAACACAGAAGCAGCAAGUUUGAUGCCCUCUCAAGUCUGAGUUUCAUAUUUGUGCUGUAUAUUACCUGAAAAUUUUGAUUGUAUGUAGUUCAAAGCCUUGAAAAUUUUCUGUCAUACUUUUUAGUGAUCUAGCUGUAUUUGUUGGCAUCAUUUAAGUGGAUCUGAAUGUCAUGAUUUAUCAUUAUAACUUAUUAAGCUUAAAUUAAAGACAUUGUGUACCUCCAUCCCCCCAAAACUGAGGGUCUCGCAGUCAAAAUCUCACGAUACUUUACACCGGUGACUAAUGAAGAGUUACUGGAGUAAGCGUUAUUCGGACUAGAUGUGGCGCAUCAAUCAAUACUUUGG